rnacentral:rRNA from 1 species
CCUACGGGGAGCAGCAGUCGAGAAUCAUUCACAAUGGGGGAAACCCUGAUGGUGCGACGCCGCGUGGGGGAAUGAAGGUCUUCGGAUUGUAAACCCCUGUCAUGUGGGAGCAAAUUAAAAAGAUAGUACCACACGAGGAAGAGACGGCUAACUCUGUGCCAGCAGCCGCGGUAAUACAGAGGUCUCAAGCGUUGUUCGGAAUCACUGGGCGUAAAGCGUGCGUAGGCUGUUUCGUAAGUCGUGUGUGAAAGGCGCGGGCUCAACCCGCGGACGGCACAUGAUACUGCGAGACUAGAGUAAUGGAGGGGGAACCGGAAUUCUCGGUGUAGCAGUGAAAUGCGUAGAUAUCGAGAGGAACACUCGUGGCGAAGGCGGGUUCCUGGACAUUAACUGACGCUGAGGCACGAAGGCCAGGGGAGCGAAAGGGAUUAGAUACCCGUGUAGUC